AAAAUAUUUUGUUCUUCUUUGUACUUUCAGCAUGGCUGUUCCCAGCUGGCUUGAGCCUUCAUCCUGGGCCUGACACUCAUGGCUCCCAGGAAAACCAAGGCCCAUAAUGAUGAUCCAGAGCUGAUUAUGCAUCUUUCCCAGAACAUGAAGUCUGUGAGUUGAAGCAUGAAGACCAAAAUUGGAUUUGGGCACUCUUCCUGGGUCACGUGGUCUGUGGUUCAACGUGGAGACCAAGCUGAGUGUGGUCGGAGAUCUUGGCUUGGGUGGCUUUUAAAGUGUGUUUACCAUAUAGGUAAAGUCUUCAUGAGCAACAGAAGAAUGUCAACCAUGGGCCAAUAUUUGGAAAAUUUAGGCUUUAGAAUGAGGUACUGCAUAUAGGACAAGAUCCUGUAGAUAAAGUGUACAUAAUGAUACUGUUAACUUUUUUGUGAUUAGUUUUUAAUUUUUAAGAAUUUUUAUUAGUUAAAAUUUAGUCAGAGCAAUCAGGCAAGAAAAAUAAAAUGGAUAUAAGAAUGUUAUAUCAAAAAAGCAUGACGAUAGCACAAAAAUAGACACAUGGACCAAUAAAAUGGAAGAGCAGUUAAAAGAAAUAACUCCAUGCACAUUCAGCCAUCUGAUUUUUGACAAAGCGUCCACAAACACACCCUGGAGGCAGCCUUUUUAUAUAGCUGGGGAUAGUUCCUUUAUACAAAUUAUUAAUGAAGCUCAUAGUCCGUAAGUUCAGGUAGAAGUUAGUAGAGUAGGGCCAACCCGGAUGAUGACUCCACUCAAUGUCUGAGGUCCCACCCGCAAGGACACUAGUGUGUGCCUUGUGACCUUCAGGGCCCCUGUUAGGCAAAUUCAGGGGUGCUCCAGGAUGACCUGUGUGCUUCCGAGGGUUCAGUUUGCUUUUGUAAUGGAAUCCGUGAAAUAACCAUUACACAGUAAUAAAGUAAGACAGAGUGUGAAGCAUCGCCCAGUGGUGAGAAUUUAUAAUGUCCACACAUGCAUUCUUUUUGCACUUAAAGCAUUAAAGUCCCUUAAGAGAGAAAAAAUUUAAAGCUUGUUGUGAUUCUGGCUAAGGAUGGCAGAUAAAGCUGAAACAAUGGCUUUGAUGUUCACUUUCUUAAGAAAUACCCACAUAAUUUAACUCUUACCUAAAUGAUCAAUAAAAUUAAUGGAGGAAGGCAAGAUUAAGUGGGCAUGGUAUCAGUCUUCUUGUAAUCUCUUGUACCUGGUACAGAGCGUGGUUCUCCCAGCUGAUCAUCGCUUUCCUCCUUGAUUACAGGAUCUCUUUUUCUGCUGGUGUGUGAGGAACAUGCAGAUCAGUGUGAGUACUGUCAAAGUUCUAGCCUUAGUGUGAGUGGUUUUUAAAUGGGGCUUAAAUCCUUGCUCAGGUCAGGAAUAAACCGACUGUUUCUUAAGAAUGAAAGAACAUAAUUAGAUACACACCAAAAUGAGUAGUACAAGGAGCAGUGCAAGAAUAAAUGGAUGCAAUAUCAAUCUUAUUAUGACCUGUUCUGCUCAGUACUUUUAGAAUGGAUGCCUCCAAGCUGACAUAGGCCUUUUUUCCUGAUCUUGAGGGCUGCAGUUACUGCCAUAUUAGGAGCAUAGUGUGAGUAUAUUCAAGUUCUCAACUUUGUUUGAGUGGAUUUUCAAGGGUAUUCACAGUAGUUGUGAAAACUGUUAUGUAUAAUGCAAAGUUUCAGCUAUGGCUCAAGGAGAAAUACUAAAUGACCAUGAAACACAUUGUUGAAAAUUCAGCAGCAGGGAAUGAUAUAAUCAGGUUUGGAAAAGAUCCUACAGAUAUCUAUAACGUGUACUUCAAGAUUUGUCUUUAACAUUUUGUGAUUCCUGGUUAUAAAUUCACUUGAUAAAUGAAUAGUAGAGCAUGGUAGGGAAGAGGAGACCAUGUGAUGUACCUUCAGAC
rnacentral:lncRNA from 1 species